rnacentral:rRNA from 1 species
CGAGCGCAGGAAACCAGAUGACCCCUUCGGGGUGAUUCUGGCGGAAUGAGCGGCGGACGGGUGAGUAACACGUGGGCAACCUGCCUGUAAGACUGGGAUAACUUCGGGAAACCGGAGCUAAUACCGGAUAGUAUUUCCUUUCUCCUGAUUGGAAAUGGAAAGACGGUUUCGGCUGUCACUUACAGAUGGGCCCGCGGUGCAUUAGCUAGUUGGUGGGGUAAUGGCCCACCAAGGCGACGAUGCAUAGCCGACCUGAGAGGGUGAUCGGCCACACUGGGACUGAGACACGGCCCAGACUCCUACGGGAGGCAGCAGUAGGGAAUCUUCCGCAAUGGACGAAAGUCUGACGGAGCAACGCCGCGUGAGCGAUGAAGGCCUUCGGGUCGUAAAGCUCUGUUGUUAGGGAAGAACAAGUACGAGAGUAACUGCUCGUACCUUGACGGUACCUAACCAGAAAGCCCCGGCUAACUACGUGCCAGCAGCCGCGGUAAUACGUAGGGGGCAAGCGUUGUCCGGAAUUAUUGGGCGUAAAGGGCUCGUAGGCGGUUUCUUAAGUCUGAUGUGAAAGCCCACAGCUCAACUGUGGAGGGUCAUUG